GACGAACGCUGGCGGCGUGCUUAACACAUGCAAGUCGAGCGGUAAGGCCCUUUCGGGGGUACACGAGCGGCGAACGGGUGAGUAACACGUGGGUGACCUGCCCUCAACUCUGGGAUAAGCCUGGGAAACCGGGUCUAAUACCGGAUAUGACUCCAUGACGCAUGUUGUGGGGUGGAAAGCCUUGUGCGGCUGAGGAUGGGGCCCGCGGCCUAUCAGCUUGUUGGUGGGGUGANGGCCUACCAAGGCGACGACGGGUAGCCGGCCUGAGAGGGCGACCGGCCACACUGGGACUGAGACACGGCCCAGACUCCUACGGGAGGCAGCAGUGGGGAAUCUUGCGCAAUGGGCGAAAGCCUGACGCAGCGACGCCGCGUGAGGGAUGAC
rnacentral:rRNA from 1 species